UUACGGCCAUAUCACGUUGAAACACCGAUUCCCGUUCGAUUGCUGAAGUUAAUCAACGUUGUGCCAGGUCACUACCUAGAUGGGUAACCGCUUGGGAAUACCAGGUGCUGUAA